rnacentral:misc_RNA from 1 species
AAGUCGUAACAAGGUUUCCGUAGGUGAACCUGCGGAAGGAUCAUUACUUCAAGUGCUGUCAUCCUUUGGGAUACACAGACAUCUUGACAAACACCAAUCUGUGCUCUUUCUUUUUUCCACUCCGCACAUUCAACCUUAAGUGUUCUUUGCACUGACUAAAUUGACUGUAGCUGCAGGUAUGGUGUUUUACAUCAUCCCUCGUGUGCUAGUCAUCUGUAGCUGUGUAUCUCUACUGUGUUGCGCAUUCGUGCACAUGCAGUGUGGUACCCUUCUACUUUCACAACUCUUCAAUCCGACUGUAUGCAAGUACAGUGUGGAUUGAUUUAGGAACAACUCCUAACAAUGGAUAUCUCGGCUCUC